ACUGUUUCUUUCUCAUUCCCCAACUCCCCUAAGCCCUAAUUCCUACCAAUCUAGGUCUUCACAUCUUCUUCUUCUACUCCUAGUAAUCUCUUUAAAUUGCUUCACUGCAUUUCAGGCUAAGGAGAACAAAUCAGAGGUUCUAUUCAAUUCAAAGUAUUUCAUUAAUUUGCAGUGAAGUAGAAGGGUUUUGAUUGAUCUGAACCAGUAAGGUGGUGCAGGAAGUGGAAAGGGAACCCAGUGUGCGAAAAUUGUUGAACACUUCGGAUUUACCCAUCUCAGCGCUGGAGAUCUUCUUAAAGCAGAAAUGGAAUCUGAUUCGGAAAAUGGAUCUCCAGAGAGACUAAUUCCAUCCAAGUAACCCCGAAAAUGAGAUUUCUAACUCAUUCUUCUUUCUGUUUUAUGCCUAUGCCAAGCCUUGACCCUUGGUCCUUAAGGUUGAUCACUUCAUUAACGCACCAAUGAGGUUACAAAGAAGCUGGUCAUCUUUCCUUUGUUUGAUUCUUUUCUUUGGAUUGGCCACAAAUUCUUUCUUCUUAUUAUGAAGUACCAUGAUCAGAAAUAUGCGGAAGGAAGGGAAGAUUGUUCCUUCUGAGGUAACAAUUAAGCUUCUCCAGCAAGCAAUGCAGGAGAGUGGAAACAACAAAUUUCUUAUUGAUGGCUUCCCUCGUAAUGAAGAGAAUCUUGCUGCAUUUGAGAACGUUUUAGAAUUCCCUUUACUUUCAUGCGGGGAUAACGGAAAACUGUCUUGUAGAUGAAUAUUGAACCAGACUUUGUUCUGUUCUUUAAAUGUUCAGAGGAGGAGAGGAAAAGACGCAUUUUAAAUAGGAACCAGGUUUGAGAAGUUGCAUCCUUUUAGUGUCUUAUCACCCAAGUAUCUUUUUACAUCAUAUUCACAAAGUCAUCUCAACAAAAGCUACCCCAACAUUAUGUUCAUGUUAUGUUCCUCAUUUUUGUUUACAUUUUUUUUUUGGGUUGAACUCUGGAGGGAAGAGAUGAUGAUAACAUUGAUACAAUACUAAAGCGGUUUAAAGUUUAUGAAGAAUGCACUCUACCUAUAAUUGAAUAUUACAGAUCAAAGGUCAAGAUUUGUGAGGAUAUCUGAUGAGGACGGGCCUCGGCACAAUGGUAAGUUGGCUCCAUUGCAACCUGGUGGUUGUGGAUUCGAGUCUGGAAACAGUUUCUCCGUGAAGCAGGGGUAAAACUGCGUACAUUAUGAUCUUCCCUAAGCCCUGCAGUGGUGGGAGCCUUAUGCACUGGAUUGAUGCUGAAAGACCUGUUCAAGAAGUUUUUGAGGUGAUCUCUCGUCAGCUAGUGGAAAGGAUAUCUGCAGGAACCGAUGUUGAGGUCUGUGGGAAAGAAGAUAUGGCUGUUUAGAACUAUACAAUUAGGUAGCGCUCCUGUGGCAGUCUUCAGGCAUUUUAAUUGUUACAAUAAGGAAAUAAAAUAGAAGGUUUAGAGGUUUUUAUCAUUAUUAUUAUUAUUAUAUAUUUUUUUUUAUAACUUUGCUUUCGAACGAGUUGUGUUGAUUUUGCAGGGAAGGAGUGAAUUAGCAAUUCUCCAAAUAGAACUGACUACUGAAAAGUGUUUGAUACCUCAUUAUUUUGUGGGUUCUUCUAUCUCCCAAGAAAUUCUUGCAUAGGAACCUUGUGCUAUUUCUUUGUUCAUUGGUUUAUAGUCCUUGUGCAUAUGAUAUGGAAGGAAAGUUUUAUGGUUCUGAAAGAU